CACUGCCGCUCCAGCCCGAGUUAUUCCCACCCGCACAUUAAACGGGGAAGUGCUCCUUAGCUUCCCUAGAAAUGGACGAAUCCCAGUCUCCUCAUGGUCCGGCUCCUCAAAGGCCAAUGGUGAAAGGACCUGGCACUCACCCAUCAUUGCUCCCUGAUUUAUGACAAUUUGGAAGUCGGGAAGCUGAAACUUGAUCUGCCAGGUAGAAUCGAGAACAAAAUUCGGAUGUCACAGGUCAUUAACAUACCACCCUCCCAAGGGGGAUAAUUUGGAAUCAUCCGACUUGCCAGUUGAAUAGGAAUCACUCUGGAUA